CCGGCGGCGGCCAGGCCGUUGCCGGCGUCGCCGCCGUUGCCGGAGACCAGGCCGCGGGUGAUCACCAGGCCGUCGAGCAUCACGUUGCUGCCGGCC
rnacentral:tRNA from 1 species